rnacentral:rRNA from 1 species
AUUGAACGCUGGCGGCAGGCCUAACCCCUGCAAGUCGAGCGGAUGAAGGGAGCUUGCUCCUGGAUUCAGCGGCGGACGGGUGAGUAAUGCCUAGGAAUCUGCCUGGUAGUGGGGGAUAACGUCCGGAAACGGGCGCUAAUACCGCAUACGUCCUGAGGGAGAAAGUGGGGGAUCUUCGGACCUCACGCUAUCAGAUGAGCCUAGGUCGGAUUAGCUAGUUGGUGGGGUAAAGGCCUACCAAGGCGACGAUCCGUAACUGGUCUGAGAGGAUGAUCAGUCACACUGGAACUGAGACACGGUCCAGACUCCUACGGGAGGCAGCAGUGGGGAAUAUUGGACAAUGGGCGAAAGCCUGAUCCAGCCAUGCCGCGUGUGUGAAGAAGGUCUUCGGAUUGUAAAGCACUUUAAGUUGGGAGGAAGGGCAGUAAGUUAAUACCUUGCUGUUUUGACGGUACCAACAGAAUAAGCACCGGCUAACUUCGUG